CUAUGACAAUGCAGUUCACCAACUCAAAGAACUUACCAGAAUCUUAUUUCAGUGUUGUAAACAAUGAUGUCAUAUCAGAAUGCUCAGCAUUAAUAUUUAAUAAUUGUUUGGAUCAAACCUGGUUGUUGGAAAUUUUCUAAUCCUUUAUUUUCCUCAUAUUUACUUUUUAAAUAUGUUGAUGUUGGAAUAACAUUGCAGAUAUUACCAAAUAUGAACACUGCAGGAAGAUGAGAAAAUAACCUUUUCUUUCCAGUAGGUGGAGCUUAAGAGCCUUCAGCAACCGAAUGUGAAGUAGAAAAAUGCUUUUCGCAGACGGCCCUCACAGUGACAAACCUUUUGGAGAUCAGCAAUGGUGUCUCUCUCUGCAGUCAUCCUUUUCUUGCUCUAUAUUGGUGAAACCUUGGAGGAUGAUAGUAUCAAAUCUCUGGACUCUGUGAAGCAUGUUGCACUGGGAGGGAGCGCCACUCUCACCUGCAGUUACAGUGGGUCUGUCAGGACAUUGCAGUGGUAUCGCCAAGGUCUCCAUUCUGAGCCACAGUUCCUUCAGUACAUCACCACAUCAGGGAUGAAACACCCUGAGCAUGUUGAAAAUCUGUCAGUGAGGGUUUUGGACAACAUCACACGCCUGGAACUGGAGAUCUCUUCAGCUGAAAUGACUGACUCGGCAAUCUACUACUGUGCUCUGCAGCCCACAGUGACAGGAAAUCAGACAGCCUUAAACAAAAACCUGAUAGGUCCCAAAGAAAUCCUACGAACAUGAGUGAAAGUGUCACAGCGCAUUCAUCUAUAGAUAUUUCAAUACAAUUAUGUUUCACUAGUUUAUCCUGUCUGUAGUAUAGUUAAGGACACGCCUACUAUGGAAGCCUCAGACUAAAGACGUGACAGAUCAUGAUAUAGACACAUGU